rnacentral:lncRNA from 10 species
GCGUCUUGACGGCUGCUCCCCUCCUUUCCUCCCGCCACAAGCGCUCGCUGUGGUUCUGGCAGCGAAGUGCGAGACUGGGCUCGCCAGGCGGAAGUGGUUGGAGACUGCGUGUUUUCCUAGAAAGUCCUCGACCUUCGUCGGGGAGAGGAGGGGAGUGAUAAAUUGGAAGGCGGACAAGCGACAAGUGCGGUACUGGAAAGACCCAAACAUACUUGGUUGUGACCUCAGGUCACAUCUCCCAAGAAGCAGUAAUGUUCCAGCAAUAAGAAAAGGACAGUUUUUUGUCUUUUGCAUGGUGAGCCUUAUAUGAAUUACAUCAAUUUUGUCACCAAUAUCCAUCAUCAGAACAUUUUGUGGCACUGUGGCUCGAACCAAUGUCCAGCUUCCACACUAUCUGCUUGGAAGAGGAUUACCCUUAUUUGGAAGUCUCAGUUUUGAGGAUUUGGGGAAAGCAGGCACGCAAGCAGACACACCUUAUUCUCUACAGCAUCAUUUAUACCUCAACUAAGUCAGCUGAACAAAUGCCUGCUGAAAAGUUCUGGGAGUGGCAUAGCUAAGAACCAGAAAGGCGAUCUUUCUUUUGGAUUAAGUCAACAGAGUCAUACCCACAAGGAGAACUAUCAAAUAUCAGAUGCGAGAGGUGAAGUGGGGUUAUAAGGUGAGAGCUGAGAAGGGAGAAACAGGGGAUUUGAUUUAGGACAAAUUGUUAUUUGGAUGGAUGCUUGUCUAUUGAGAGAGUAAUUGUUAAACUAAAGGAAACUGGUCACAAAUACUUUAGCAGUGGCUAUAAAUGACCAGUGGGCCAAGGAUUUUGAGAUCGUGAGAGACUUCUCCGGGAAUGUUGUCAUUCAUUUCACUCCAGUGUGGCUCUUUUCCUCCAUCUGCGCUCACUUUUCUAGGAGAACUAUGGCCACUAUGGAGAAUAUGAAAACAUUGCUGAAGGAGGUGAAAGCCAUUUCAGAAGAAGAGUUAUAUAUUAGCUUUUGGCAGUGACAGCGUUAUGGGCACGGACAUUCAGCCUUUCCAGUUGACUGCUUUGAAGGGGCAAUGUUCACGUGGAAGUAUACCUCCUAGUACGUUUGCUAAAAUAAAAUCAGCUUCAUUACCUAAUAACAUAAAUGACUUUGGGAGAAAACUCUGAGUCUCAUGUUUUAUUUUUCCUGAUAAUGCUGUUCAAUUAGGGCAGACUUUGUGGAAAUUCUGAUUUCAUUACCCAUCACUGCUGCAUGAAAAUACGCUUUCUGAAGUCACGCUCUGAAAGAAACUAAGUUGUUUGCUACAACUACCCCUACACAGAAAUUAGAAAAUUAUAUGAGAAGAAGUUUACUUCAGCCUGCAGUUGGGACACAGGUUAUUACUGAAAGUAGUCGUCGGCAUGGUUUCUGGUUUCACAGUAAAAGAAGACGACUUGAAAGGACUCAGUGGUUUUGAUGCUCUUCUGAAAUGAAAACACUCAGUGAGCACAUAGCAUUGGGUUGUCAUUAAUGUCAGCCAAGCGAAAACACUGUCUCCAUGAACACUGCAGUCAUUUCCCCGCCGAGACCAUGACUUUCCACUCCCUGGCAUUUCGGGCACUGUGCUAGUACUUUUCCAAAAGAGACUCUUAAGGCAAUUCAUUCUAGAUAAUCAAACACACACAACAGUCUUAAAUGAAUAGGUGGCCUGAAUUUGCUAAAGUCAGCCAACAAUUUCCAGGGGAGAAUGUGUUAUUUUCUGAGAAAUACUGUAAGGC